UUAAGGACAAAAGGGUAAUUCACUUCUCUAUGCUUUUCUUCUACAACGUCUUUCCUCUCCUUGGUACCGAAUAUGGUUAUGAACACAGCGAGUAGAGCAGCCGCAAGGAGGAGGAGGAAGAAGUAAGAGAAGUCAGGUUCCAAGUGAGUAGAGCCAAGAUGCGAGCAAUAAUAACUCAGCUGUUGAAUGGAAACCCGUAACUCAACAACAAUGGUAGGAGAGCGGUGCGAGAAGUGGCGGACAAAAUUUUGGUGAAGUUUAUGAAGAAGCACAACAAGACGUAGAGAGUGGGGGCGACGACGGCUACAGUGGUGGGAGGGAACAACCGUUUGUCUUCCUUUUAGUCUUCAUAUUUCCCUUUUCUUUUUCUUGUUUGCACUAACACUUUCUUUUCACUUCCUUUCUACGAUGCUUCGUGGUCAUAUUUCCAUAAACUUUUAAUUCAUAUUGAAAAUGCUGAUUGUUGGUAUGCGAAGACGACUCAUGGUUCCAUAUAAAUAUUUGUUAUAUAUC